rnacentral:rRNA from 1 species
AUACGGAGGGUGCAAGCGUUAAUCGGAUUUACUGGGCGUAAAGCGCGCGUAGGUGGACUGUUAAGUCAGAUGUGAAAGCCCUGGGCUCAACCUGGGAACUGCAUUUGAUACUGGCAGUCUAGAGUAUGGUAGAGGGUAGUGGAAUUCUCGGUGUAGCGGUGAAAUGCGUAGAUAUCGGGAGGAACACCAGUGGCGAAGGCGACUACCUGGCCCAAUACUGACACUGAGGCGCGAAAGCGUGGGUAGCGAACAGAAUUAGAAACCCGAGUAGUCC